UCUUCAGAUGAUGAUCCCAAGCCUUCUGGCGUUCUGUUCAUUAAAUUCCAAAAGCAUUUAAGAAACAGAUCUGUUUCUUAAACAUAUCUUUUGUUUGUCCCGAGGAAGGUUUUUACCAAUUCACUCCUGAGGGCUUGUAGCUCAGUUGGUUAGAGCGCGCGCUUGAUAAGCGUGAGGUCGGAGGUUCAAGUCCUCCCAGGCCCACCAAUUUAUGAUCGCUGAUAAAAUUUUUACAAACGUUUUGAUGGUUUUUUCUGUGACAAUCUUUGAAAGUUGUUUGAACUUUUUAGGGGCCGUAGCUCAGCUGGGAGAGCACC
rnacentral:misc_RNA from 1 species